AUAUAGCUCAGCCACACAAGUGCCUGCCUGGAAAAAAAAAUUGGAAAUCAGUAAUUUUGCAGAUUGGUACCCAAAAUAAGAGGGAGACCAGAACAUUGAAUACAGGGCUUCACGCAUUGCAGACAUGUGCUUUACUGCUGAACUGUGGCCAGAAACAGGACUCUGGCUAUCUUGCUCAGGCUGGCAUCAAAUCCCUGGUCUCAAGGAAUCCUCCUGUGUAACCCCCCUGCCCCAGCAGCAAAGACUACAAGCACAAACCACUGUGUCUUGCUAAUAACAUGAAAUAGUAAAGAUAAGGAAAUAAAACAAUUAGGUGCAUUGUGAAUUUAUUUAAUCAUUGAAUUUUUUUACCAAAAAUGUAUACUUAGCUGUGAGAAGUGGUGCUGCCUGUAAUGCCAACACUUGGGAGGCUGAGGCAGGCAGGUUGCCAUUAGUUUGAAGCCAACCUGAA